UACGGAGGGGGCGAGCGUUAUUCGGAAUUAUUGGGCGUAAAGGGCGCGUAGGCGGCCCUGUAAGUCAAAGGUGAAAUCCCUCGGCUCAACUGAGGAACUGCCUUUGAAACUGCAGGGCUUGAGGCCGGGAGGGGGUAGCGGAAUUCCCAAUGUAGCGGUGAAAUGCGUAGAUAUUGGGAGGAACACCAGUGGCGAAGGCGGCUACCUGGACCGGUUCUGGCGCUGAGGCGCGAAAGCGUGGGUAGCAAACAGG
rnacentral:rRNA from 1 species